rnacentral:rRNA from 1 species
CAGUCGCCGCGGGAAUACGUAGGGUGCAAGCGUUAAUCGGAAUUACUGGGCGUAAAGCGUGCGCAGGCGGUUCGCUAAGACAGAUGUGAAAUCCCCGGGCUUAACCUGGGAACUGCAUUUGUGACUGGCGGGCUAGAGUAUGGCAGAGGGGGGUAGAAUUCCAGGUGUAGCGGUGAAAUGCGUAGAGAUCUGGAGGAAUACCGGUGGCGAAGGCGGCCCCCUGGACAAAGACUGACGCUCAGGUGCGAAAGCGUGGGGAGCAAACAGGAUUAGAUACCCCAGUAGUCCCUGUCUCUUAUAU